UACGUAGGGGGCAAGCGUUUGUCCGGAUUUAUUGGGCGUAAAGAGCUCGUAGGCGGCGGGGUAAGUCGGGUGUGAAAUCUCAGAGCUCAACUCUGAAACUGCACUCGAUACUGCUCUGCUUGAGGACUGGAGAGGAGACUGGAAUUCACGGUGUAGCAGUGAAAUGCGUAGAUAUCGUGAGGAAGACCAGUGGCGAAGGCGGCUCACUGGUCCGGUACUGACGCUGAGGUGCGAAAGCGUGGGGAGCAAACAGG
rnacentral:rRNA from 1 species